UUGCGGCCACAUCGCGUUGAAAGACCAAUUUCCGUACGAUCACCGCUGUUAAGCAACGUCCAGCCUGGUCAGUACCAAGAUGGGUGACCGCUUGGGGAUACCAGGUACUGUAAG